rnacentral:rRNA from 1 species
UACGUAGGUGGCAAGCGUUAUCCGGAUUUAUUGGGCGUAAAGAGAACGCAGGCGGUCUUUUAAGUCUGAUGUGAAAGCCUUCGGCUUAACCGGAGUAGUGCAUUGGAAACUGGGAGACUUGAGUGCAGAGGAGGAGAGUGGAACUCCAUGUGUAGCGGUGAAAUGCGUAGAUAUAUGGAAGAACACCAGUGGCGAAAGCGGCCCUCUGGUCUGUAACUGACGCUGAGGUUCGAAAGCGUGGGUAGCAAACAGG